rnacentral:rRNA from 1 species
GUGGGGAAUAUUGGACAAUGGGGGGAACCCUGAUCCAGCCAUGCCGCGUGUGUGAAGAAGGCCUUUUGGUUGUAAAGCACUUUAAGCGAGGAGGAGGCUACCGAGAUUAAUACUCUUGGAUAGUGGACGUUACUCGCAGAAUAAGCACCGGCUAACUCUGUGCCAGCAGCCGCGGUAAUACAGAGGGUGCAAGCGUUAAUCGGAUUUACUGGGCGUAAAGCGCGCGUAGGUGGCCAAUUAAGUCAAAUGUGAAAUCCCCGAGCUUAACUUGGGAAUUGCAUUCGAUACUGGUUGGCUAGAGUAUGGGAGAGGAUGGUAGAAUUCCAGGUGUCGCGGUGAAAUGCGUAGAGAUCUGGAGGAAUACCGAUGGCGAAGGCAGCCAUCUGGCCUAAUACUGACACUGAGGUGCGAAAGCAUGGGGAGCAAACAGGAUUAGAAACCCGUGUAGUCC